rnacentral:rRNA from 1 species
CCUACGGGGGGCAGCAGUGAGGAAUAUUGGUCAAUGGGCGGGAGCCUGAACCAGCCAAGUCGCGUGAGGGACGACGGUCCUAUGGAUUGUAAACCUCUUUUGUCGGGGAACAAAGGCGCCCACGGGUGGGCGGAUGAGUGUACCCGAAGAAAAAGCAUCGGCUAACUCCGUGCCAGCAGCCGCGGUAAUACGGAGGAUGCGAGCGUUAUCCGGAUUUAUUGGGUUUAAAGGGUGCGUAGGCGGACGGUUAAGUCAGCGGUAAAAAUGCGGUGCUCAACGCCGUACAGCCGUUGAAACUGGCAGUCUUGAGUGGGCGAGAAGUAUGCGGAAUGCGUGGUGUAGCGGGGAAAUGCAUAGAUAUAUGGAAGAACACCAGUGGCGAAAGCGGCUCUCUGGUCUGUAACUGACGCUGAGGUUCGAAAGCGUGGGUAGCAAACAGGAUUAGAUACCCGGGUAGUC